UACGUAGGGUGCAAGCGUUGUCCGGAAUUAUUGGGCGUAAAGAGCUCGUAGGUGGCCUGUCGCGUCGGCUGUGAAAACUCGGGGCUCAACUCCGAGCUUGCAGUCGAUACGGGCAGGCUAGAGUUCGGCAGGGGAGACUGGAACUCCUGGUGUAGCGGUGAAAUGCGCAGAUAUCAGGAGGAACACCGGUGGCGAAGGCGGGUCUCUGGGCCGAUACUGACACUGAGGAGCGAAAGCGUGGGGAGCGAACAGG
rnacentral:rRNA from 1 species